AGUUGAGAAAGUUACGACAUCACGACCUAUUCUCUAUUCUAUAUCCUAUAUCUUUGAUAUUUCAUUAAAUGAUAUUCAGGUUAUUUAAGCCGCAGUUACAGAACGGAUUUUAUAUCAAAGCUGUUCCAAGUACUAAAGAGAAACAUUACAUAGAGAUAUCAGGAUAGGUUUUUUUUUUUUUAAAAAAAAGGAGAAAUUAUUAUUCUGGAAAGCGGUUAAAAUGAUAAGUUUUGGAGAUUCUGUCUUAACUGGUCAAGGAUCAUCUCGAAUUUCAAGGUUUUACAGUAUGAAAGUGUCGUAGUACUCUAUCAGGCAACAGUUCUCGCAUCGGAAGGACGUUCGACGGUCGCAAUCCGGUUUAAACAUAAAAUUAUCUACAAGGAAAAAAAAAGGAUAUAAGUUUACAAUGAAAGAAAAUUAUCCUCAAUCAAAUACGGAAGUGAUAAAAAUUCGAUGUGAAAUCAUACUCAGAUUUCUUUAAUGAAGUGUCAUUUACUUCUAUACACCCUAUAAAUACGAUACGUGGGCGUUA